AUUGAACGCUGGCGGCAUGCCUUACACAUGCAAGUCGAACGGCAGCACGGGUGCUUGCACCUGGUGGCGAGUGGCGAACGGGUGAGUAAUAUAUCGGAACGUACCUUAUUGUGGGGGAUAACGCAGCGAAAGCUGUGCUAAUACCGCAUAAUCCCUAAGGGGGAAAGCGGGGGACCGUAAGGCCUCGCGCAAUUAGAGCGGCUGAUACCUGAUUAGCUAGUUGGUGAGGUAAAGGCUCACCAAGGCAACGAUCAGUAGCUGGUCUGAGAGGACGAUCAGCCACGCUGGGACUGAGACACGGCCCGGACUCCUACGGGAGGCAGCAGUGGGGAAUUUUGGAAAAUGGGGGCAACCCUGAUCCAGCAAUGCCGCGUGGGUGAAGAAGGCCUUCGGGUUGUAAAGCUCUUUUGUCAGGGAAGAAACAGCAGCUCUAACACAGUUUGCGAAUGACGGUACCUGAAGAAUAAGCACCGGCUAACUACGUGCCAGCCGCCGCCGUAA
rnacentral:rRNA from 1 species